CCCAGUUUGAUGCCCCUCCCACUACAUUCACAUUUUUAGUAGGAAACUCUUGAAAGCUUGGCCAUUUUAAAACUCAAAGGAAGUGUACCUCCAACAGUGAGACUCAGGCUGUGUGACAGAUGGUAGAAAGAAAUAUUUACACGAAGGCUGUGGCUGGGAGGGCAGACACGCUCACUGUUGCCGUAGGUGAACUUGUGUUGCUGCCUGUUGGACACGCAGGCACAACGUGGCGAAGCCUCCAUGAGUCCUGACGUGUCUUCCUCACAGCAAACAGCCGCCACCUUUAGUUACUCCUUGGGGACCACGAUUUUUCUCAGCCAGCCUCCUUCACGAUCUCCUCCAAAGUGCGCUUGGCUCUCCCGGGAGAAUCGCAGCUGAGAAUGACAGCUGGACAGUUGCACCCGGCUCACCAGCUUCGCACACAGCUUGCUUUCAAGGAAGUGGGGCAGCAAACUGGCAGGGCACUUAACAUGAGUCUUACGUUCCUCACCUGGAAGUUGAGAGGGUUGCCCUGGCUAAUCCUCAAGGACCCGGCCAGCCAGAGGUCUGAAGCCAGGAGAAACGUGGUGCGGGUUAAGGUUGUGGCGCCAGCUUCCACACGGUUCGUGUGCACAGUGAAGCCCAUGAGAAGUGUUCUGUUUGGAGAAGCAGCUCUGACAACUGGGGGCAAUGCAGUCAUCCGCAAAGGAAGCAGCCUUCGAAAGUGCUCCCAGCCUGUUGUCCCAAGAGGAAGGAAGGCGUGAGCUCGUUUCUGAGGGCAGAUCCGCCCUGAAGGAGCACUAACUAAUUUUCCCUUUGCCCCAGUUCCUUGAACUCGUUCUCUCUCUUUAUUGUGCAUAUUUUUCUAAACACCUCAAAUCCUUUUAUGGAAUAAAGUUAGGAUAUAAAUGUGUUCAUUUUUAAAAAAAUCCUGAAAAGUGAGUUGCUUCAAACUACCAUAGAACUACCAUAUGACCUAGCGAUGCCACUUCUGGGCAUACACGCCAAAGAAUUGAAAGCAGAGACUCGAACAGAUUUUGGUACACCCAUGUUCAAAGCAGCAUCAUUCACGAUGGCCAAAAUGUGGAAACAACCCAAGCGUCCAUCAACAGAUGAAUGAUAAACAAAAUGUGAUACACACACUGUAGUAUACUAUUCAGACGUAAAAAGGAAUGAAAUUUUGAAACAUGCUAAAACUUGGAAGGACCUUGAAAACAUUAUGCCAGCAAUAAGCCAGACACAGAAGGGGAAAUAUUGUAUGAUUCCAUUCAUAGGAGGUACCAAGAAUAGGCCAAUUCAUAGAGACAGAAAGUGGAAUAGAGGUUACCAGGGGCUGGGGGAAGGGAGAAGAAGGGGUUAUCAUUUAACAGACAGAGAGUUUUUGUUGGAGAUGAUGAAAAAGUUUUGCGUGUAGAUAGUGACGAUGGUUACAUAACUUUGGGAAUGUGUUUAAUGCCACUGAAUUGUACACUUAUGAAGGGUUAAAAUGAUAAAUAUUGUGUUAUAUAUAUUUUACCACAAUAAAAAUAGUUUUUUAUGGUGAAAAAGUUAUAUUUGGAAUUGGUCAGCUGGACUCAGUUCAGAGGAUCCCAGCUCUGUUGGCAACAUCCAGAGCAUCAGAGUCAGGCCAGUGGCACGUAUACCUUCUCUCCGUCCGGCCGGAUUGGGGUGUGGACCUUGGCCGCGUCAACGUCAUGGAGCGUCUUCACAGCCUGUUCGAUCAGCGUUUCUGGGACUUGACAUCUACAGUGAGCACAGAAUUGGUUCACGUGAUUAUGAAGCCUUGCAAGUCCAAAAUCUGCAAAGCAGGCCAGCAGGCUGGAGACCCAGAGAGGAGCCAAUGCUGCAGUUCAAGACCAAAGGCCAUCUGCUGCAGAAUUCCCCCUCACUUGCAGGAGAAAUUCUCGUGGGACAUUCAAACAUCGCAUGAGCUACAGGACAAUUCCUGCAGAACUUUCCAGUGCAUUGCAGGAGGACUCCUGGCCUGCCUGACCUCUCCCUGUUAAGAGCCAGUAGUGCCCUCCGCAGCACUGAGACAACCAAAAAGAAGCCCCCCAAAAUUUCUGAAACACCUCCUGGAGGGCAGUAGCACCCGCAUUGAGAACAAGCGCUGUAAAGGAAGGGAACAGAGACAUUCUGCAGAUGCCUGUGGAGAAAACAGGGAGAAGGUCUGGGGAGUAUAGAAAUGAACCAACCAGUGACAAAAUGGAAGAUGGAAGGCAAAAAGUCCCAUGCCACAUCUGAUAGGUGGGACCACCACAUGUACGGGGGAUUGGAGGGUCUGGUCCACCCCAGAGACCCGAGGGAGGCCCCAGGCUGCUCCUCCAGCACCAGCACCGGCCAGGAUCAGCCAGAGGAGAGCCCUUUUCUACAGGUCCACUGUCAUCUGCAUGGAGGGACCCUAAGCUUGUAGGAUGUUUCCCACACCGAGGGUGAAGCAUGAGAAAGAGCAACUGGAGGAUCAUACUGUGUUCUUUUUGAUCAUUGCACCCCAAUACUUGGGCCUUUCCUUGGUUAAGGAUGAA
rnacentral:lncRNA from 1 species